CAGCUUGUUGGUGGGGUAAUGGCCUACCAAGGCGGCGACGGGUAGCCGGCCUGAGAGGGUGGACGGCCACAUUGGGACUGAGACACGGCCCAGACUCCUACGGGAGGCAGCAGUGGGGAAUAUUGCACAAUGGGCGCAAGCCUGAUGCAGCGACGCCGCGUGGGGGAUGAAGGCCUUCGGGUUGUAAACUCCUUUCAUCAUCGACGAAGGGCUCAUUUUUUGUGGGUUUGACGGUAGGUGGAGAAGAAGCACCGGCUAACUACGUGCCAGCAGCCGCGGUAAUACGUAGGGUGCGAGCGUUGUCCGGAAUUACUGGGCGUAAAGAGCUCGUAGGUGGUUUGUCGCGUCGUCUGUGAAAUUCCGGGGCUUAACUCCGGGCGUGCAGGCGAUACGGGCAUAACUUGAGUGCUGUAGGGGAGACUGGAAUUCCUGGUGUAGCGGUGAAAUGCGCAGAUAUCAGGAGGAACACCGAUGGCGAAGGCAGGUCUCUGGGCAGUAACUGACGCUGAGGAGCGAAAGCAUGGGGAGCAAACAGGAUUAGAUACCCUGGUAGUCCAUGCCGUAAACGGUGGGCGCUAGGUGUAGGGGUCUUCCACGACUUCUGUGCCGUAGCUAACGCAUUAAGCGCCC
rnacentral:rRNA from 1 species